rnacentral:lncRNA from 1 species
AAGAAUUCAAAGGCACAUCUACUAAAGAAGACUCAAAACAAACUAAAGCCAAGGGAAUACCUGGAGAACUCUUCUUCUUUUCCAACCAAGUCUUGAAUUUAAAACAAUCUUUCUGCCAGUGACCCUUCUUUUUACAGAACUUGCAUUGAUCAUUUUUCUUUAUAACUCAUUUGGGACCAGUAAAAUUUUUAUUCUGCUGACUUCGGUGGGACUUAUUACCCUUAUGAAACUUAGGUUUAUGAUUAUGAGAAGGCCCCUUAUUCUGUGAUGGCUGAAAAGCUAAUUGCACAGUUUCA